AAAUAAGAAGCAAUUUGUUGCAUUUAGUUUCGACCUAAAAGUCUGGCCUCAAGCCCUUAUUUU
rnacentral:tRNA from 1 species